rnacentral:rRNA from 1 species
UCUAAGACCACGUUGUUUGACGACGAAUCUGCGUACGGCUCAUUACAACAGCUAUAAUCUACUUGAUUUUGACAAUCCUAAUUGGAUAACUGCGUUAAUUUUGGAGCUAAUACAUGCAUAAAAGCUCUGAUCCUCGUGUGACGAGCGCAUUUAUUAGAUCAAGACCAAUCGGGGCAACCCGUUGUUGGUGACUCUGAAUAACGUAGCUGAUCGCAUGGUCUCGUACCGGCGACAGGUCAUUCGAGUGUCUGCCUUAUCAACUUUCGAUGGUAGUUUAUGUGACUACCAUGGUUGUAACGGGUAACGGAGAAUAAGGGUUCGACUCCGGAGAGGGAGCCUGAGAAACGGCUACCACAUCCAAGGAAGGCAGCAGGCGCGUAAAUUACCCACUCUCAAUGCGAGGAGGUAGUGACUAUCAAUAACGAGACCGAUCUCUUUGAGGCCGGUUAUCGGAAUGGGUACAAUUUAAACCCUU